rnacentral:rRNA from 1 species
AAAUUUUAGAGAGUUUGAUCCUGGCUCAGGACGAACGCUGGCGGCGUGCCUAACACAUGCAAGUCGAACGGAACUUCUUUAAUUGAUUUCUUCGGAAUGAUUUUGAUUAAGUUUAGUGGCGGACGGGUGAGUAACGCGUGAGUAACCUGCCUCUAAGAGGGGAAUAACAUUCUGAAAAGAAUGCUAAUACCGCAUAAUAUAUAUUUAUCGCAUGGUAGAUAUAUCAAAGAUUUAUCGCUUAGAGAUGGACUCGCGUCCGAUUAGUUAGUUGGUGAGGUAACGGCUCACCAAGACCGCGAUCGGUAGCCGGACUGAGAGGUUGAACGGCCACAUUGGGACUGAGACACGGCCCAGACUCCUACGGGAGGCAGCAGUGGGGGAUAUUGCGCAAUGGGGGAAACCCUGACGCAGCAACGCCGCGUGAAGGAUGAAGGUCUUCGGAUUGUAAACUUCUUUUAUUAAGGACGAAGAAAGUGACGGUACUUAAUGAAUAAGCUCCGGCUAACUACGUGCCAGCAGCCGCGGUAAUACGUAGGGAGCAAGCGUUGUCCGGAUUUACUGGGUGUAAAGGGUGCGUAGGCGGCUUUGCAAGUCAGAUGUGAAAUCUAUGGGCUCAACCCAUAGCCUGCAUUUGAAACUGCAGAGCUUGAGUGAAGUAGAGGCAGGCGGAAUUCCCCGUGUAGCGGUGAAAUGCGUAGAGAUGGGGAGGAACACCAGUGGCGAAGGCGGCCUGCUGGGCUUUAACUGACGCUGAGGCACGAAAGCGUGGGUAGCAAACAGGAUUAGAUACCCUGGUAGUCCACGCUGUAAACGAUGAU